rnacentral:rRNA from 1 species
AUACGGAGGAUGCGAGCGUUAUCCGGAUUUAUUGGGUUUAAAGGGUGCGCAGGCGGCCAUUUAAGUCAGCGGUUAAAUCGUGGGGCUCAACCCCAUUCUGCCGUUUAUACUGGGUGGCUUGAUUGCGGUCGAGGUUGGCGGAAUUCGUUGUGUAGCGGGGAAAUGCAUAGAUAUGACGAAGAACACCGAUUGCGUAGGCAGCUGAGCAGACCGCAAAUGACGCUCAUGCACAAAAGUGCGGGGAUCGAGCAGGAUUAGAUUCCCUGGUAGUCCGCACAGUAAACGAUGAAUGCUUGUUUUCGGCGAUAUAAUGUCGGAGGCAAAGCGAAAGCGAUAAGUAUGCCACCUGGGGAGUACGCCGGCAACGGUGAAACUCAAAUGAAUUGACGGGG